CAUUUGUCAUUGUGAGUUUGUAUAAAUAGCACAGUUUUUAAAAAUUUCUUUAAAGAAAUUUUAUUGGGGUAUUGUAAUGAACUGGGAACU